GUAGGUGGCAAGCGUUGUCCGGAAUUAUUGGGCGUAAAGCGCGCGCAGGCGGUUCUUUAAGUCUGAUGUGAAAGCCCACGGGCUCAACCGUGGAGGGUCAUUGGAAACUGGAGAACUUGAGUACAGAAGAGGAAAGCGGAAUUCCACGUGUAGCGGUGAAAUGCGUAGAGAUGUGGAGGAACACCAGUGGCGAAGGCGGCUCUCUGGUCUGUAACUGACGCUGAGGCGCGAAAGCGUGGGGAGCAAACAGGAUUAGAUACCCUGGUAGUCCACGCCGUAAACAAUGAGUGCUAAGUGUUAGGGGGUUUCCGCCCCUUAGUGCUGCAGCUAACGCAUUAAGCACUCCGCCUGGGGAGUACGGCCGCAAGGCUG
rnacentral:rRNA from 1 species